UCAGCUCCUAUAUGAUGCCUUU
rnacentral:miRNA from 1 species